rnacentral:rRNA from 1 species
AUGAAAUUACGGACUACAGAGAGGUUCUGGCAGAUUUCGGUGGCAAGAUUUUUGUACAAUUACAGUGGCAGAUUUCAGAAAUUUGUAGAGCACAUGAUUUACAAGAACAAGAUAUUCUGUCAAGCCAUGGAUAUCAACAAUCAGUCAAGCAAAGAAAUAUUCACGGGAGAUAUACAGGGAUCCACAAGAAUAUGCACCGUAUGGCACUACCCUUUUGUCAUGGAGCCACUAUCACAUUUUGGUCAGCAAUCAGUUCAAGCAAUUCUCAGCGCAAUUAGUCAGAAGUUGGAAUUUACAUCUAAACGAACAAUACAUCAAGCAACAGAAGAAAGAGUGGUCAUCUCUUUUUCUUGGCACCAAGAUGCCAUACAAGCAUUCAGACUUCGGAAUCGCACAAGCAGUUUGUAUAUAAAUGAUGUGCCAUAUCGUUUUAACAUGGACACUUCAAAAGAAUAUCUGCCAAGAGUGGUCGCUGAUCACUAUGAUUAUAGUAGUCCUAAAGAGUUCGCCUCUGCGUUUCUGUUCACAUGUAGUUGA